GAGGACAGAAAUAACACUGGGACAGACAGAAAAGACAUAAGAAUAGAAGAUAGGAGGAUAAUUUAGUUUGGUUCGCUUAGUUAGGAUAUUAAUACAUGGAGGGUCUAUCGGCUCCAUUGGCAUGUAUUUUAGUUUUGAUUUUAAGUUUAUGUUUGGUAAAUUCUCUAAUAAGAGAUAUGACUAUUUACACAGACAAGCACAUAGGCAUUAAAAACCAUACAAAGCAGACAGAUACAUCUUGAAUAAGACAAUUGACAGAGAAUUGUUACAGGGUAACUAAGGAUGAAUGCCCCAGGGAGAGUUGGACAUGUGGACAAUGAAAGGGGGCAAUCCUACAAGAGAAGGGCUGACAUAAGGAUAGUUUACUGAUCUUACCAAAGACAUUGCUUAGAUAUUCAGCAAAAUUGAUACAUGGCUUGAGCCAUGGGGGAAAUAGGGGGAGUAUGGUAGAGCAGGUGAUAGAACAGGUUAGGAUAAUUACUUAAACAAGAACAUAAUACUUAAACAAUUUUUGUUUUUGUAGAAUAUCCAUUCCAACAUUUGGAGAUGGACUUAUUGAACUAUUCCGAAUGGAGGGGAAGAAGGGGUGUUUAACAAUAACAGAUAAGUAUAGCAAAUGGGUAGAAGCGUUCCCAACUUACUUGGUGGACAUGAUUAUGGUAGCUAGAAUAUUAGGACAAGAUAUUAUCCUUAGAUUUGGGGUACUGGAAUCUAUCUCUUUAAAUGAUGGAUGACAUUUUAGCUAAUCAGGUAGAGCCUAUAGAAUGCCAGAGUUAGGGAGAAUAGAGAUACCAGAACAGGUAGACAUAGAAGUUGAAGAAAUACUAGCAGAACACAUAAGAAGACUGUUAACCAAACCCGUAUGUCCAAGAUUUUGUGUCCAACAGGUGAAUUACAGGAGAAGGUGAUUCACUCAAUCCAACCAGGAGACUGGGUGUGGAUCCAGUCCCUGAGGAGAAAAAACUGGAAGCAGUCCCAUUGGGAAGGCCCAUAACAGGUGCUGUUAAACCAUUGCCUUUGCCAUUAGAAAAGCUGAGAGAGUCACUUGGGUCCACGUUAUCCACUGCAAGAAGGUAUGUACACAUAUAAGCACUGCUGAUCACACAGAGAGUUAGGAGAAGAACCGAGUACCAACAGGGUCCGGGGAUACCUCCUUAACGAAGAUUUCCUAUCCCGACCGUUCAUCACUGUGUGUGCUCCUAGAGGUGUGAGUAUGGGGUGGUACCAAGCAGAGAGACUAAGGGCAGGAGAGGGUUGGCGGCUUUUGGGAAGAGUAGAAACUCUGAGCUGCAUCAUAAUCUAAUCUUACUGAUACAUUCAGAUCCACCACCUUCUGGUACUAAUCAUACGAUACCGUUGUCAUUGAGUAGAAGUAGAAGAUAAACUAUAUAAUACACUGAUGAGUGACUUACAGAAUAAGGAGUCAAAGAAGAUCAAGAUGUAGGAUUUAAGGUAAACAUUAAACAACUUUCUGGGAAAGCAGACAACUGUACAGGGACUGGGUGGGCCAGAUUGAAGUACUCAGCCAACCCACCUAGGUUCACUUAAAUUCCUGAUGAGCACCAGUAUUAUAGAUACAAGAAUGGCACCGAGAACUUGGAUGAUUUUAAUAGCUGGAAAGUAAUUGCUAAUGUGACUGACUUAGGUUUGAAAGAUGAAUCGAAAAUUCUUAACCUCACAGCACCUAUAACUGAUGUAGGGUGGGCUAGUACCAGCAAAGAACGCAUACGACAGAAAAUACCACAAAGGGUGGUUAGGAACUUGCGCCCUGGGGUUAUUGGUCCAACCAGUACGAAUUAGUUAUCAGAGACCAGUUAUAGGAGGCUAAAGUAGGCACAGGAGGAGUUUUAACCAGGAUGGGAUUAGCUUUGUCUAGAUGGAUGCUAUUGGCAUCCUCAGGAAAGUGCCAGAUGAUACAAAGCUAUGAAUCAAAUAUGUGAAGGUUUUAACACUACAUUAUUUUGGUAGUUGACAAUAAAUAGAAAUGUGGAUUGGAUUAAUGACAUAUUUUAUAAUCAACAGAGAUUCAUGAAUGAAACCGGGGAUGCAGUAAAGAGGUUCUCUGACCAAUUAUCUGCCACCUCCCUCAUGACCUGGUAAAAUAGACUGACUCUCGAUAUGUUACUGGAAAAGAGGAUGGUGUAGGUAGAAUGAUUAGGUUCAUUGCUGUACGUACAUUCCAGAUAACACAGCUCAUGUUUGGGAAAUGAAAAAGUGUUGUAGGAACUGUAUUAUGGCCUGCUUUCACCUGUAUGAGGUUUAAUCACCAGAACUCUAGAGAGAUGGAUAACGGAGCAGAUGGUGAGAUACGGACCGAGUCAAAGUUCAGACCAAUGGGACAAUAAGUACCUACCGCCGAGCAAGUUGUCAGAGCAACCGGAGUGAUGCCUUUGAUGGAAUUGACCCCGGAGAACACUAAAUCCAGCUCUGGGCAAAAGAUGGGUCUGUCCGAGGACGAUCCUUAGUUUGCUGUUAAGGAAGUGGUUGAAUAAAGCGUAUCCACAGUAAUUUCAUAUGUAUUGAAUGUAGUGGUAGGUGGAUGUGAAGGUUUAAAAUACUGGGACAAAGUGUCUGUCCCACACAUGUUAGGUGUAGCCACUGUCGCAAGAAGGUCUUCUUUUUAUACGUUUUUUAAAUAAUAUGUUUUGAAUUUAUCCUGUGUACUAUUUGUCUUUCCUUAUGUGAAGGUUUGAAACUCCUGGGUGACUGGUAGUCAACCUAGUACAAGUGAGGUGUAGCCGGAAGGAUGUGAGGGUUUUUAACUAAUUAACUAAUCAUUAAAAUGGAGAUAUACAAAUUGUGUUGAGUGACACCCUAGGGGGUGUCAAAAGGGGGAAUCCUACAUUUCCCUGAAAUUUCUUAUUGGAGUAUGUUCACACCCCAAGGGGUGUGAAAAGUGGGAUUGUUAGGGUUGAACUGGCUAUUUGUUUGCAUAACCUAUAUAAUAUACCGGGGAAGCUAUGCUACAAUAUUAAGUAUAUAAACUACGGAUAAGUCAACUGCUGAAGACAAGAAUUACACCCGGCGACAGGAAGUGCGUCACUAGGCUGGGACCUGCCUGCACGCCGACGUUAGGAUGAGCAAGUUUAAACCACGCUCAUCCUCACCCUGACAGGCCAGCAUUGAGCGGGAACUAUCUCUGUCAGAGUAUAUAAGGGAGAACAAUAGGAUGUGACGCUCUCUUCUCUGUCUGCCCUGCGUGGUGUCACAGAGAGACCG
rnacentral:lncRNA from 1 species